GGGCAAUUAGGGUCAAGCCAGAUGCCAAACCCAACUCACAGAAAGAUCCUCAUUGUCAAGAGCCUUCCAACAUCCUGUAGAAAAUCAAAAGAAGCAAAAAACCAACACCUCCUGGUGCUGUAAUCUGAUAUGGAAUCUGACCAAGUGGGAAGCGCAGGAAGCAGCAAAAAGCUACGUAACGACAGAUGCCCAUUCCAUCACGUUCAGAGACGAAGGCUCGUUGUCCAGCACCUCAUCCGGCACCAAGAAAGUGCGCCAUGAGCUGAUCCUGGUUCCCUCUCACAUUCCACAGGUUCCGCCUGAGAAAUCCCACCCACGACCACUGCUCCAGCAUCACAGUGGGCCCGUUCUAGAGACUGGGAGACCUUGGAGACCAAGACAGGGAGUGGAGCUUUACCUUCAGGAAGCCAGUAAACAGGGACACAAGCACAGAAGCAACACAACUUUGACGGUGAGACAUUCCAGGGUAGCAUUUGGCUUUGAAUGAGCAGUCAUUUUGGCCACCCACGAUGGUUUGGAAAAGCCCCACUGCUGAGUUCACAAAAUUCUUCAAUGCGAGUAUCAUCGACUUUUCAUUUUCACCGAUAUCCAGCAACUUUCACUAAUGUUCAUGAAACGUGCGUGCUAUUUUAUUCCUUUUGUGGCUGUCUGCAAAAUAGCUCUGGUAGAACCCAGAUGUUCACCAAGUUUCAGGCCAGAUUUCAGUUCUUCCAUCUGGGAAGUGGUGUCCCAACUCUGACUCUUCCUACAAAGUGAUUUUACACUUUGGGCGAGGAAUACAAAGCUCACGCCAGGGCGUGCGGCAUGACAUCUACAGCAUGACGUCAUGAGGAGCCUGGAUACCGGUCGCCGUGCGUCACAGUGAGGAAGCUGCCGCUGCAGAAAGCGUUUGAAUCUAAAGUAGCAACUUCAAUGCUCAGAGGGGAGAGAAUCCAUCUAGUGUAAAAAGGACAUUAAAUGAUGAUGUAAACUUUCUUCUCAAAAGCUAUUCAAGUUCAACCUGGGACAGCGCCCGGCACACAUUGAAGCAAGCUGACUGACAGGUAGGACUGAGCGAACUGAUGGACAGGCAAGCAAGAGAGAGGUGAGAUGAGAAGAGGUGGGCGAAUGAAGGUGAACGAUAUGGUCGUUGCCUUCCUAUGACACUGAUUGUAAGAAUCUGAAACUGUGCGGCCCAGUUUCUGCUCUGUUGCAACAUACUUCACCAAAUACUAUGUUUCCGCCCCAUUCUCUACCACAGAUAUACAUAACCCGAGUGUCUCCAUCUAAAUCCUUGGAAAAAAAUUAGUCAGAGCACAUAAAUUUCAGACUGGGAACAAUAUACACUCAAGUAAUGCAGAUUUCUAAAUCCAAGAUCAACCUUGACGUACCGUGUUCAAAAUAUUACUGUAUCCUUCCCAGCGAGUUUGGAUACACGAUGUUAUUUUAGAACACGGCAAAACAACUCCUAAAACCGAUCAUCGGAAUUUUUCUUAAGAAUUUGCAAUAUGGAAAACCUGGCAAAACUCUCUGUCGCUCUACCCUAACCAUUAAUACGUUGUGCUUUGGGAUAACUAAUUUAUUUUACAGCCAAUGCUAAUUAAGCCAGAAUUAAUUGCAUAAUAUAGUGCGUAUAUAAGAAAUGGGAAAUGUUAAGUUGAAAAGGAACCAAGAAGUUUUUCAAAGUUUGACUCUCUUUUUUAAUACAACCAUAGGACACAUUCCUCUUUUUUCUUCUCUGUAUGAAAGCAGGGUAAUUCUGGUUGCUCUGCUUUGCCGUCUUUGAGGGUUUGUUUCUAAAACUAGUCCUAAGCGAUUUGAAAAUGUUUCUUUUUUAUUCCUAAGGGAAAGCAAUGGUCUCUGUAAAGCACGCUCUGCUUCAAAACUGACCAAUGUUAAGAUUAUCUACAUCAUUAAUGAACACAAGUGGCUUGAAACAUUAUACAGGGCAAUCUGUUCUUCUUAAGGGCAGGACCGGGAGCAUAGCAACGGGGAAAACAAAUCCAUUCAUAAUAACAAAUGAACAACCAUGGAAGAAGAGUGCUGAGAUCUCUUCCCAGCACAAAACAAGAAACUAAACUAUUGAAGGAAAAAACUAUUGGUAGUUCUAGAACCCAAAAUGUAAACUGGAUCCUGAGCCUCCCUUUCACUGUGACUUGCCAAACCUUUGGGAAGCUGACUUUCUAAGCUGAGCAUGCUGAAUGCACAAAUGUAAUGGACUUAGCUAAGUAGUUACAAUUGAUGUUAUGAUUACUCAUCAACAUCUUUAGCUAGUGGAGGUUUUGGGUCGUAUUGUUUUAUAUAGGUCAAAGGCCAUUAAAA